UAAGAACUAUGAAGUAGAUAACUCAAAUUAUUUUUUUGUUUUUAAAAACUCAAGUCAUAGGCCAGGCCCAGUGACUCACCUGUAAUCCCACACUUUGGGAGGCUGAGGCAAGCAGAUCACUUCAGCCCAGGAGUUCAAGACCAGCCUGGGCAACAUAGUGAGAUCUUAUCUGUAUAAAAAGUCAAGAAAAUAACCAGGGCCUGGUGUGGUGGAUCACGCCUAUAAUCCCAGCACUUUGGGAGGCCCAGGUGGCCGGAUCACUUGAGGUCAGGAGUUCGAGACCACCAGCCUGGCCAAUAUGGUAAAAUCCCAUCUCUACCAAAAACAUAAAAAAUUAGCUGAGUGUGAUACUGCAUACUUGUAAAUCCAAGCUACUUGGGAGGCUGAGGCAGGAGGCUUCAGUGAGCUGAGAUAGUGCCAUUGCACCCCAGCCUAGGCAACAAAGCAAGACUCUGUCUCAAAAAAAAAAAAAAAAAGCUGGUCAUGGUGGUACAUACCUGAAGUUCCAGAUUCUUGGGAGGUUGGGGUGGAAGGAUCACUUGAGCCUGGGAGUUUGAUGCUUCAGUGAGCUGUGAUUGUGCCACUGCACUGCAGCCUGGGCAACAAAGCAAGACCCUGUCUUAAAUUAAAAAAAAAGAAAAAUAACUCGGGUAAUAAAUUUGAAUUGUCGAAUAGUCAAUUAAGGAUAAUAGUCUAGUAGUGUUGUUUUUGGAUGCAUUCUUUUUUUCUUCCCCUAAACACUGAAAACCAAAUUCAAAAAUGAGGAAACAGUGCUGAAGAUCUAUUUUGCAACGUGACUGGCAUGGUUAGUGCUGGUGCUGGUUCUCAGGGCUGCAGUACCCAGAAUGAACUAAAUUUAACUGUGCUUUGCCUUUUUUAAAAUUUGAACUCCCACAGGCCAUCUCUCAGCAAGAUUGUAGCAAAAAGUACUGGAGGACACACACAGCAGAACAGCCCUCCGUUUACUACUUCAGAAGAGCUUCAGCAAAUUUUCAGAACACUGCAAUGAAAGUCAAGAUUCUACAAACUUCCAAAGGGAAAAUAAAACCCAAACUCGAAUUGCCACAUACAAAGAACCAAAAUGACUUUAGACUUUCCUACAGCACUGGAAGGUAAAAUUUAAUAGAGAAAAGCCCACAGACUUCUAGCAGGAAAUAAUUUCCGACAGGUGUGGAAUUUAAUAUACUGUGAAACCCUUGAUCAAAAGAGAAAGAAUAAAAAUAUUUUCUGACUGGUACAUAGGACUUUAAAUAUUUUAACCAUUAACCUUAUUUCAGGAAAAUACUAAACAAUGUGUUUCAGUGUAUUUGGACUUGUAUAAACAGGAUGUGACUUAACUCUGACAUACUUUUAUUUCCAAAAACUGUGACUUUGCCGUAGGUUGUAUCUAGCAGAGUUUGUUGGAAAAAUUCUGAUGCACAAUUGGAACAUUUUGGCAGUAACAGCCAACAUGCAAAGUCCUCUGAGUGAAAUGACAAAGGUCACUUUACCAUCUGGAUUCUCUAAUAAGUAGCUACUGUUCUAAAGAAAAAUGUGUGUAAGAAAUUAAGUUUGAAAAAA
rnacentral:lncRNA from 1 species